CAUGGAAGCAAAUUCUAAGAUCACUUCUUGUACCAUAUUUUGAAGAAGAGUGUUCCAAAAACCUCAUGGCUCUCUGGGAGAAAAUAAAACUUCAUUUCUGUCCUAAACAGGUGGCCAUGUCUAUAACGUUUGGUUUCAAUUGACUGGAACCGCCUCCGUGGAUAAAUUGUACCGUGCCCAAGGGAGACGAGAAAUGCCUUGGCGAACCUGUCCCAGCGAUGGCUGGGUUAGGAACCUGACAACCCAGCAUUUACAGGAAAAUAAAGAAAUACAAGCGAACUUAUGGAAAACCAUACAUAAACGAAGAGUGAGACAAUUAACGUGUUAUUGUGCAAAAGAAGACAAAUUGUGCAACUAAAAAUAAAUAAUACGGAGAAUAUAAAUUGUAGAGUUCUUGAAAAUGAGUUUGUAGUUUGCAGAAUUUGUUCAAUGGUGGUAGGAGAGACAGGAUGGCACCGUGCUUUAACUUUGGAUGGAAAGGAGAUAUAGAAACAAAUAUUGCAGCGGUCUUUAAUUCCGUUAUUUUUGAUAUGUUGCUGCCCCAUUUCCCCCAUCCCCUACUUCGGAUUUCAGAAGCCCGGGGGCAGCCGCCUAGCUUUAAUUGCACUGCCAGAAAUAAAAUUACAGACUACAUCUCAGCAACUGGGCCUAUGUGUGGACAACACGUGAGAGCCAAAUCUAUUCGUAGUCAGCCUGGACAAACGGCCAGAAUAGUCUCCCGACAUUUCUGUGAUUACUGUAAGCAAACUGUGCACCCUGCCAGUCAGCCAUCUUGGAAACGCCAGUAACAGGAGUGUUCAAAACUCGCCAAUACACUUAAUGAGAUAAGUUUUCUUCAUUGUCCUGUACCAGGUCUGUGUGAAAAACGGGACAACAUCCAGAGACCCGUUUCAACGUGUUACGCUUUCUCCAUUCCACUGAAACUCAAAUGCACUGUUUAGAACUAACUUACAUUGAUUAACCGUUUAAUCGUGGGCUUUAUAUUAUGCUUGAGGUCUUAAUUUCAAGCAUUAUCUCCGUCAGUAAACUGUACUGGUGCAUGGAAAGCAAUGGUGAAUUACACUAUUUCACUGAGAAAGAGGUACUAUAGGAUACGAAGAUGUAUAAUUCUUUUGGGUAAAGAAAUGAGUUAUAUACAGGCCUACAAACAGCAGCCAGGAUGUGGGAUAAAAAUAUACAACGGGUGAUAGAAAAGACAGGUCAAAAGGGCAAUGUUAUGAC